GGGACACGUGGUAUCCUGUCUGAAUAUGGGGGGACCAUCCUCCAAGGCUAAAUACUCCUGACUGACCGAUAGUGAACCAGUACCGUGAGGGAAAGGCGAAAAGAACCCCGGCGAGGGGAGUGAAAAAGAACCUGAAACCGUGUACGUACAAGCAGUGGGAGCCUCUUUAUGGGGUGACUGCGUACCUUUUGUAUAAUGGGUCAGCGACUUAUAUUCUGUAGCAAGGUUAACCGAAUAGGGGAGCCGAAGGGAAACCGAGUCUUAACUGGGCGUUAAGUUGCAGGGUAUAGACCCGAAACCCGGUGAUCUAGCCAUGGGCAGGUUGAAGGUUGGGUAACACUAACUGGAGGACCGAACCGACUAAUGUUGAAAAAUUAGCGGAUGACUUGUGGCUGGGGGUGAAAGGCCAAUCAAACCGGGAGAUAGCUGGUUCUCCCCGAAAGCUAUUUAGGUAGCGCCUCGUGAAUUCAUCUCCGGGGGUAGAGCACUGUUUCGGCAAGGGGGUCAUCCCGACUUACCAACCCGAUGCAAACUGCGAAUACCGGAGAAUGUUAUCACGGGAGACACACGGCGGGUGCUAACGUCCGUCGUGAAGAGGGAAACAACCCAGACCGCCAGCUAAGGUCCCAAAGUCAUGGUUAAGUGGGAAACGAUGUGGGAAGGCCCAGACAGCCAGGAUGUUGGCUUAGAAGCAGCCAUCAUUUAAAGAAAGCGUAAUAGCUCACUGGUCGAGUCGGCCUGCGCGGAAGAUGUAACGGGGCUAAACCAUGCACCGAAGCUGCGGCAGCGACACUAUGUGUUGUUGGGUAGGGGAGCGUUCUGUAAGCCUGUGAAGGUGUGCUGUGAGGUAUGCUGGAGGUAUCAGAAGUGCGAAUGCUGACAUAAGUAACGAUAAAGCGGGUGAAAAGCCCGCUCGCCGGAAGACCAAGGGUUCCUGUCCAACGUUAAUCGGGGCAGGGUGAGUCGACCCCUAAGGCGAGGCCGAAAGGCGUAGUCGAUGGGAAACAGGUUAAUAUUCCUGUACUUGGUGUUACUGCGAAGGGGGGACGGAGAAGGCUAUGUUGGCCGGGCGACGGUUGUCCCGGUUUAAGCGUGUAGGCUGGUUUUCCAGGCAAAUCCGGAAAAUCAAGGCUGAGGCGUGAUGACGAGGCACUACGGUGCUGAAGCAACAAAUGCCCUGCUUCCAGGAAAAGCCUCUAAGCAUCAGGUAACAUCAAAUCGUACCCCAAACCGACACAGGUGGUCAGGUAGAGAAUACCAAGGCGCUUGAGAGAACUCGGGUGAAGGAACUAGGCAAAAUGGUGCCGUAACUUCGGGAGAAGGCACGCUGAUAUGUAGGUGAAGUCCCUUGCGGAUGGAGCUGAAAUCAGUCGAAGAUACCAGCUGGCUGCAACUGUUUAUUAAAAACACAGCACUGUGCAAACACGAAAGUGGACGUAUACGGUGUGACGCCUGCCCGGUGCCGGAAGGUUAAUUGAUGG
rnacentral:rRNA from 1 species